AACGAACGCUUGCGGCGCGCCUAAUACAUGCAAGUCGAGCGAGAAAGUACUUCGGUAUGAGUAAAGCGGCGGACGGGUGAGGAACACGUAGAUAAUCUGCCUUAGAGUGGGGGAUAACUAAUCGAAAGAUUAGCUAAUACCGCAUAAGACCACAAGGGCUUCGGCUCAAGGGGUUAAAGGAGCAAUUCGCUCUAAGAUGAGUCUGCGUCCGAUUAGCUAGUUGGUGAGGUAAUGGCUCACCAAGGCAACGAUCGGUAACUGGUCUGAGAGGAUGACCAGUCACACUGGAACUGAGACACGGUCCAGACUCCUACGGGAGGCAGCAGUAGGGAAUAUUGCACAAUGGACGAAAGUCUGAUGCAGCGACGCCGCGUGAGUGAUGAAGGCCUUCGGGUUGUAAAACUCUGUGAUAAGGGAAGAUGAUGACGGUACCUUAUCAGAAAAGACCGGCUAACUUCGUGCCAGCCGCCGCAGUAAUAC
rnacentral:rRNA from 1 species